GUGAUAGAGAGGCAUACCUAUAAGUGGUAGUGUCAAGGGAGUAGUUGGCCAUUACAAGAAAAUACCAAUUACCCAAAAUAAUGGUGGAAACAAAGUCAACCACGAACCACCCACCAAAAACACAUCACUCUUGGAGAUCUAAGCAAUAAGCACUGCUAAAACUCAAGAUUCUUGAUUUCAAAUCAAACCCAAUCGACCACAAGAAACAUUAUAGAACAAGCGACCACAGUAGAUAUACAGCUAUGAUUUCA
rnacentral:misc_RNA from 1 species